AAAAAGAAGGCCCAAAUAAAACCCUUCCCCCAACAACGGAAAACCCUAACCCAAAAACCCAUUCCUGAAACUAACGCGUGCUGCCACCAAACCCAAAAAUGAAGACCUGUGCUCUGCUCCGGUGACGAUCUGUUCCAGCGGCUGCUCCGAUGGCGAUCUGCUCCAGCGACUAAUUUGGAGAUGAUCUUCUUAGCGGCGUAAUCUUCCGACGAGAUUGUGUGCUCUCUCAAGCGACGAUCUCCUCUAGCAGGUUCUCCUCCGGCGGCGCGUUCACCUCCAGCUACAAUCUCUGUGUGAGAGCAAGGUUGAUCUUCUUUUUCUCUCUCAAUUUUCUACUGUUGUCAAAAAUACCUAAAAGUUUGAAAUGAAAAAUCAAGUUGUAGAAACUUCAUAAAACUACGAGAUCUAUUGCGCAAGUGUUUCCUCCGAUGAUCUUCUUCGGCAGCGAUCUCCUCCAUCAACACUUCUCUUCCAUUGAUGAGAUCUGUUGCGUAAGUGUUUCCUACGGCGUCGAGUUGUGUUCUGCGAUUUCUCCAUCUCCAUCGAGCUUCAUUAAGCAUCUAGGUUUUUUAUUUUCUUCCUUGUCAGAAGAAAUUGGAGGUGAGGCAUUUACUAAAUUUUCUUCUAAUUUUAUUUGUAUCUAUGUUAGAUGAUUAUGGAUUAUGAUGAUAUCAUGUUUGAGCUCCCUUCUCUAUUCUAUUCUUCUUCCUUCUGUUCUAUUAUGAUGAUAUCUUGUAAAUUUGUAUAUUUGUUAGUUUUAAUAAUGUUGAUUUUUGACUUUUGUAAUUGAUCAAAUAUAUAGGUACUUCUAUUACUAAAUUAUUUUAUUUCAUUCUAUGUGAUUUUCCACUGUAUCUCCCAAAACUUGCUUGUGUUGCGAGAAUAGUUGAGCAUUAUAGAAAAUGAAGAUGUUCAUACAAUGCAUGAUGAUGUGUAUAUGUUCAAGGAACUAGCAGACAAGGUAGCAGCAGCUAGAUUCCUAGUUGUAGUUCCUGAUCUCCUGUAUGGUGACUACUUUAGUUAUGAUCCUCAAUUUGAUAGAGAAGGAUGGUUGAAGAAACAUGGAGAGAGGAAUGUGAUUAUUUUAGUGGGGACGGGGUCCCCAAUCCUUUGGGACCAUUUUAUACCAAUGAAACUUGCAGCCACAUUGAAUCUCAUCAGAAUUGUUUGAAGAAUGGAAAGCCUGAUAGAUAAUUUUUGUAUUUGAGAUGGGCUCCAAGAGGCUAUGAGUUACCCCUAUUUGAUGCAGGGAAGUUUCUCAACAUGAUGCAUGGCAAAGUGUGGGCGUUGAUUGGCGAUUCCAUAUCCUGCGAUCUUGUGCAGUCGUUGAUAUACAUUCUUUCAACGAUAUGUAUUUUAUUUUGCACUGGCAAAUAGCAUAUUAGCUUUUCACAUAUGGAUUUUGCUCUAACUAUCAAUCCAGGAUUGUCUUAUUUUCUUGGUUAAGAGAAUAAAAGUUUGUAUCCAUUCUUUUGGGGUCCAUUGGUUUUUACAAUAUUUAUGAUUUCCCUUGAUGUUUUCUUCUAUGAUUAAGGGCAUCAAUUAUAACCUGCACUUUAGAAUUUUAUUAUUUUCCAUGAUCAGAAUCUUUAUCUUAGCAUCAUCUCAUUUAGAUUGUGGAAACUUCUGCUUGGUUUAUGCAAGCAUCAUAUAAAGGUUAUGCUAACUUUUGAGAAAAUUAAUGCGACCUCCACUUUUAACUGUUUAAGUAAGGUUUAUUUAUGUUGAAAAUGCUGGUUUAUAUUUUAAUGGAAUUAUAGUUCUUUACAACUUUUUCUUAAAAGAAAUUAAGUACUUCUAUCUAUACUUUUGAUUAAAAGCAAAGCGAAACAAACGACAAAUAAUAAUCAGAGUAUUCAAUCUUGUUUGGUUCAAGAGACUGGACUGGAAGGGUGAACAAUUUCUUAUUACAAACAUUUAAUAAUAAUGCACUUAUUGCACUCCAUGUGUUUGUUAUUUUGCUUUUUAGAAAUUGCUUUUGUUAGUUCUGUAUUUGGUUUUAGCUCCUGGUUUAAGGCUUGGAGUUUGUUCUUUGUUGCAUCUGAGUUUCAAAGAUUUCAUGAUUUAACUUGAAUUAUGCUUGUUUAAAACUGGAUAAGUUAUUGGUUGCUUGAAUUACAUAGUAUCAGCAUUGGGAGUGUUGUUUUCUUUCUAUGCUUUAAUUAUUGAUCGCAGUUAAUGUUUCUUGGAAGAGGAUCAAACAUUGUUAACCCUGCUUCUUGGAAGAGGAUCAAACAUAUCAGACUCGUGAAAGGUUUCUGUCACUGAGAAAAGGCA